CUUUUUUUUACCUUUGCUAUCAGGAGUCAGGGAUCAGUCUUCUUCCUCCAGAUGUCUCUCGUUCCUCGUCUACAGUAGAUCGGGGCGAACCAGGGGCGAUUCGUUUCCCGGCGUCGAUUUCGUCUGCUUCUCUUCGCCUCCGGUGGCCGUUCCGGCGCUGGAGGUGAAGGGAAGCUACGGAAUCGAUGGCCGGUGUACAUACCUACUCCUAUUAGUCUAGGUUUCAUAGGUUAGGGUUUGCCUACUCCGAAUCGAGGUCGCCUGUUCAGAGUUUAUGUCCGUGCCCCUCUUCCGCGGCGACGGCGUCGGCUUCAGCUUCGUCUCCGGCGAUGGGGACGUCCGGCGAGGAUCCGUUUUCUGUGGCCAAGAUGGGCCGGGGUCGUUGUCUGAGGCGUCAGACUCCCUGGUUUCGGCGAUGUGAUGGCUGCCGGCCAUCUCUCCUGGCCUGUUCGUUCAUCGUCUUCAAGAUGCAUUGGUUCUCUGAUGUGCUGCUCAUGGUGCCUUUCAAACUUCAUUUCCUUCGUCGGUGUGGUGGUCGGCUUCAUGGAUGGCUCCGAUCGUCGGCGACAAGGAAGACCGGGGAUUCUUACAAGGAUCUGAAUGUAACUUCCGUUUCUUUCAAGUUUGUUUUUUGUAAGAUGGGUUGUAAACUACCAGUUUUAUUAAGAAUGAAAAUCCCGGUUCCUCUAAAAAAAA